rnacentral:rRNA from 1 species
AAUAGAUACCCUGGUAGUCCACGCCGUAAACGAUGGGCACUAGGCGCUUGGGGGAGCGACCCCCCGAGGGCCGGCGCUAACGCAUUAAGUGCCCCGCCUGGGGAGUACGGCCGCAAGGCUGAAACUCAAAGGAAUUGACGGGGGCCCGCACAAGCGGUGGAGCAUGUGGUUUAAUUCGACGCAGCGCGAAGAACCUUACCAAGGCUUGACAUGGACCAGACCGGGCUGGAAACAGUCCUUCCCCUUGUGGGUUGGUUUACAGGUGGUGCAUGGUUGUCGUCAGCUCGUGUCGUGAGAUGUUGGGUUAAGUCCCGCAACGAGCGCAACCCUCGUUCUAUGUUGCCAGCACGUGAUGGUGGGGACUCAUAGGAGACUGCCGGGGUCAACUCGGAGGAAGGUGGGGACGACGUCAAAGUCAUCAUGCCCCUUAUGUCUUGGGCUUCACGCAUGCUACAAUGGCCGGUACAAAGGGUUGCGAUACUGUGAGGUGGAGCUAAUCCCAAAAAGCCGGUCUCAGUUCAGAUUGGAGUCUGCAACUCGACU